CGUGUAGGCGGCCAAGCAAGUCUAAGGUGAAAUCCCUCGGCUCAACCGAGGAAUUGCCUUUGAAACUGCUUAGCUUGAGGCUGGUAGAGGACAGCGGAAUUCCAGGUGUAGCGGUGAAAUGCGUAGAUAUCUGGAGGAACACCGGUGGCGAAGGCGGCUGUCUGGGCCAGUUCUGACGCUGGAGCGCGAAAGCGUGGGGAGCAAACA
rnacentral:rRNA from 1 species